AAGCUGAUAUGGAAGAAGAUUGACCCGACAGAUCUGAAACCUGGCGACCACAUCUACGCUUAUAAGCGAUACGGCUCUUAUAGUCACCAUGGUCAGUCUUCUUCAACCUCUCUAAUGCUCGCUGCUGAUAUCUCUUCUACCCUGUUCUUUCUCAAUUGGGUUCUUGUCUGCUCCUUUAAUCGGGUGAAGUUUUCUCUUCCGACUGAUAAAAAUCGAACUUCUAGCUUCAUUUCCUGCCUUCCCUGGCCCAAAAGCAGGGCCACGAGGUGGAAUUUGUCAAAUAAUAAACCCAAAGAAAGUGGAGGAUGAUGAUGCCAGUUGAGAUCUAUGAUUAGCAUUUGAAGCUAGAUACGGAAAAUUCAUGCCUUUUCUGAGUCAGAUGGGUACCUUUUGGUUUCUAGAUUCCUUUCCUACGUUCUGUUAAACUACUGCAAUUAUCCGCGUAAUUACUUUGGGGUUGUCACUUUUUGUGUUCUUUUCUUGUUUUGCUCGUAUUGUCCUUUUCUGACCAAGAAAAAGAAGGUUGACUGUAUAUAAGUUAUUCGAAGGCCUAUGGUGCAAAGGCCCGCUUUAUCUUGAUUUGCUAGGAAACCUAACCCAGAUCCUACUGCUAUUGGUGGUUUAAUUCUGUCUUUUGGGCAAAUUUGUGGCUUUAUGAAGUUUUUCACAAUUCACUAAGUUGUAUCUAAACAUGCCAGGAAUAUGCGUGGAAGAUGGCUAUGUGAUUUACUUCACCAGGACAGAGAGCAAGGAGGCCAUCCUCCCAUAUUCUAGAGUUGAAGCCGAAACUGUGCCCGCCUGUCCAGAAUGUGAUUACCGGGAAAACACUGUCUGCGGGGUCAUCAGGACGUGCCUCGAUUGCUUCCGUCGAGGCCACAAGACGCUUCAUUCCAUUCAUUACUUCGUGUAUGGUGCCGCAAUUGGGCUUUCUCCUGAAAAAUUCUGGAACUUGCAGCACCCUUUCCUGUACCAAAUCCCCACAAGAAGUUGUUGAAGCUGCUUAUGAGCUUCUCAAGAGCAAUGACUUUGGUAAGUACGAUCUUGCUGGAAAUAACUGCAAACAUUUCGCAACUUACUGUUUCAAGUUCACUUGCAAAAACCAUUUCUACCGUAAAUUCAUAAUCUUUUUUCCAAAUCACAAAUAACAUGUGCUAAAUCAAUAGUUUCAUGCCGCAAACAAAGAAUAAAAAAUGAUUAACGCAAUACUUUUACAAGUAAAAUAACAUCCCAUCCAUUUUUUUGAAAAAGCAAAUAUCUUUUACAUAGUAUGACUUCAAAAUUACCUCCGAUUCAGCCAUCGAAUAACCUUACACGUGCGGAUUAAUUGACUAACACGAGCAAACCUUUGUUCGUUGGACUUCUUGCUAAAUUGAAGAGAGAUUGAACUUUGAAAUUCAGUGUCAUCCUAAACAAACCAAACCUCCAAAAAAUCACAACACCGAACACUCAAGGGAAAAACUACCAACUCAAUAGCCAAACUCACGCAAUUACCCACCAAUAAUUAAAAAAAAAAAAAACUCCACAAAAUAGGAGAAACAACAAAAGAAGAAGAAUUUUUUUUUAAAAAUUUAGGGAGCUUUUUGAGAUCUUCAUGAUCCAUCAUAACAUGUUAAUCAUGGUAAACAAAGUUUUGAGAAGGUCAUUCCAAAUGAAGAUAUUAUAACAAAAGAAAAACAAAGAAUUUAAUUGUCGACCUAUAAAUACAUGUCAACCCAAUGAGAUUCUAGUAACUUAAAAUUUGGACAGAUUAGAAAACCUCCCCCUAUUAAGCGCAAUUAAAAAUUUCAUAUCUAAAAAAAUUCUUGCAGUCUACCCGUUUAAUCUAGGAGGAAAUGAUUAUGUGGUAUAAAUAUAAUCACAAACAAUAGAAUGUUUUUUACUUCGCUAUAGACAUUUCCAAUUUUCUAAGAUUAAACAAAAAUUUCACAACACAUUCUAAGUAAUCAAUUGGUGCUAAAGAGGCACACAACAAGCUUACUUUGGACUUCUUUGAUACCUAACAAUGCACAAGAUGCACUAAAUGAUACAACAUGGAACCAACGUUAUCAUUCAAGAAAAAAGAACAGCAAAUAAAGCAAAUUAGUUUGGGAGUCAUUAUGGCAUAAGAAAGUAAACAAAAAUGAAAGCACAUAACCCGAAUGUCAGUUGCAAUGAGCUUAAAAUGGAAUUGCUCAACCUCUGCAAUAUUCCAACAACUAAUUACAAGCCUAUCUUAAUCUACAUUGCAAACCAAACAACAUUAAAAUACAUAGACACCCAAAAUAUGAAACUUUAAUGAAACAAUACUAUAAAAGCAUCUGAAUCAAGGGAACAAGAUAAAAUAUAAGAAACAAAUAUUAAUAUUCAAACAUAUUGUUCUCUUAACUAACAUAUAGUCAAGUUGUCCAACAACAUCAAGAUCUGUAAAAGCUGAAAAUCGUUCACAACGGUGGCCGCAAUGUCGUCACUACUCACUUUGAGUUCUUCAACACCUUAUAGCAGCAUGGAAACAUAUCAUGUGAUCAUUUUCAUUUUUGUCCAAUAAAUGGACGAUAAUAAGCAGUUCGAAGAAUAUGAUCCGUUUCUUUCCUUUCCAUUGAUCACUUGUUUUGGUUGUAUUUUAGUUAGCUGAGAAACACCAUAGGCAUUCUAAGGAAAGCCCAAUCUUUCUUUAUUCAACAUUAAAUGGUUGUUUAUAUAAGAAUGUUGAGAUGCAACUGCAAGCCCGAGCUUCUUUUUUUUUUUUUUUUUUUUUUUUGCAAUUCUUCUUGAUAUUAGACUUUUUUUUUCAUCUAUUUUUCUGUUUGCACCACCCAAGAUGUGAAAGUGUCAUGACACAUAGUGAUGUACAAGGUUUUUCCCUAGCUAUCUAACAUGUCUUGGCUCUUUGAGGUGCAGAUGUGAUCAAGUUAAAAAUGCAUUGCAAUACACGAUAGAAAAUGUUGCAAGUUUUUUUUUUUUUUUUUAAAUGAACCACACGCACAAUUGUGUAAACUCGCCUACCUGCCUUGUAGCUUGGAGGCGACUGGUGGGCUUUCGGGUGUCUACACUUGCUAAAGAAGGCAAGGUGAAGAUGAUUACAGCUUGGGACCUAGCCAAGACUCGCGGGGCUCUUGGGAGAAAGUGGUAAUGGCAGAGGCGGCCAAGCUCGGAUGUGCCUGGUGAGCUUUUGGGUGUCCUCGAUCACCGAGGAGGCACAAGCAGAGAAGGUCAGAGCUUGGGACGCAGCCACGACUAAUGGGGCUCUUCGGAGCAAGUAGCUUCUAGCGAUGACAGCGGAGGCGAUCAAGCUUGGAGGCAAGCAAUGGGCUUUUGGGUGUCCACGCUCGCUGAAGAGGCCAAGGCGGAGAUGGUUGGGAGCCAACCAUGACCGGCGAGGUUCUUGGGAGCGAGUGGCUCUUGACGGCAACGGCAAAGGUGGCCAAGAUUGGAGGAGACCGGCAUAGGUGGCCAAGCUCGAAGGCGAUCGGCUAGAUUUUGAGCGUACGUGAUCAUCAAAGAGGCUGAGGUAGAAAUGGUCAAAGCUCAAGACCCAACCACAACCGGCGAGGCUCUUCGGAGUGAGUGGCUCCUGGCAACGAUGGCGGAGGCGGCCGAGCUCAGAGGCGACCGACAGGAUUUUGGGUGUCUGCGCUCACCAAAGAGGCCGAGGGGAAGAUGGUUAGAGUUUGGGACCUAGCCAUGACCAUAAGGGUUCUUGGGAGCGAGUGGCUCCCGACAGCAACGGUAAAGGCAGCCAAAUUUGGAGGCGACUGGCAAAUGUGAUCGAGCUUGGAGGUGACUAGUUGGCUUUUGGUCUACGCGAUCGUUGAAGAGGUCGAGGCGAAAACGGUCAGAGCUCGGGAUCCAACCAUGACCGGCGAGGUUCUUUGGAGUGAGUGUCUCCUGGCGGCGAUGGCGGAGUUGGUCGAGUUCUGAGGCAACCGGUGGGCUUUUAGGUGUCCGCGCUUGUCGAAGAGGUCGAGGCAGAGAUGGCCAGAGUUCGGGACCCAGUCACGAUUGGCAGGGUUCUUGGGAGCAAGUGGCUCUUGACGGCAACGGUAGAGGUGGCCAAGCUUGGAGGCAACCGGCGAGCGAGAGAGAUGGCGUUGCAGCUUUCAAGGAGAAAAAUGCAGAGACAAAUUUUUUUGAAAGAGAAUGGGAGGGGAAGGGACGCACACUUGCGUGGAAACGGGAGAAAUGGUGUAGAGAAAAGGAUGAAGCAUUAAAUGAGAGAGAGAAGUAGCAAAAAAUUAACUAAAAAAUAAUGGUGGGCCCCGACUCCAGGUGGAGCCACGUGGCGACACGUGUCGCAUCCUGAUUGGGUGAGCGCACAAUGAUGUGGAGUGCCCGGCCAACCAAUAUUUUCUCGGAGCAUGACCUAUGCGAAAAUUCAAAUUGACAUUACAACGUAUAUAAUAUGGUUAUAUCAAUUCAUUUGGGAAAAAGUACCAGAAAAAACUUGAAACUUAUUACAUUAAUAUCAAUUCAGUCAUAACCUUUUAAAUGAACUAAUUUAUUCUAUGCAUUUUUACAUUGGUACAAAUUGAGUCCAUCUCACCAAUUUGAGUUGAAAAUUACUAACAUGGACCCUGAUCAUAUUACUUAACAGAGCUAAUGCUUGCAUAGAUAAUUUUUAUUUUAUUUAUAAAAUUUUUACCUUUUUUUUUUUUCUUGUUUUCAUUUUUAUUAGUAUGUGGCCGCUACUUGGCACGGCUGACAACCAAGGUGAGGGCGUCACAACCCUUGUGGCCUCUAGCAAGGGCUACCAUGGUCUAGGCUGCAAGGUCAAGCCCUUGCUAAAUCUGACAAGGGCUACAACGCCCUAAUCGGCCCUCGCUUAUGGCUAGUCAUCGGUCAUGGUCAAGUACCUGCCACAAGCCAAAGGGAAGAGAAGAAAAGGGUAAUUAAUAAAAAUAUUCAAAAAAUAUUUUAAAUAUUUUUAAAAAAUAUCCAAUUAACAUCAGUUAUGCCAUGUAAGAUACUAAACGUCAACAUCAGUAAUUUUCAACUUAAAUUGAUCGGAUGGAUUGAAUUAGUACUAAUAUGAAAACGUUUCGAGUUAAAUUAGCCAAAAUCGAAAUGUUUGGGACUGAAUAAAUAUCAAUAUAAUAGGUCGAAUGCCUUUUUUCUUUGUACUUUUAUCAAAUAAAAGAGUCAUUGAUUGAUAUCAAUAGAAUUUCUGCCAACAACAUUUAAAAAAAUCUGUAGAAGGUGAUGCAGUUGGACUAUAUGCUCUCCGGCGGAAUCAUGAGUAGGUGCCUCCCUAAAAUUCCUUUCUUCUCUCUGUCUCUCUCUGUCUGGGUGAAUGAAGAUAAACUCUUUCGUUCAUCCCCCCACCCAACUAGGUCCUACAAUAUCCAUCAUAUCUCGAUCCAAGAAGUGAUUCUUUGACCAGAUCCAGAUUGAACAUUCAUGAGAAAAUGACUCGGGACAGGCUCAAAGAAGAUAGUAGAGAUGGAGUUGGGGAGUUUGCAUGACGCAUUUUGGCAGUGUCAAAUGAGUGAACAAAGUGUUAGAUGCUUGUUUUGUGAUGAAGAUUUGAUGAAAUAAGGUAGAAAUGCUCCAUCUUAGCAUAUUCUUUGGCUACAGACCGUAUAUAUAUUUUGUCAUUUCCCUUUGUCUCGUAGGGUAUGGUCAAAGGGUGUUGUCGGAAUAUCCACACCAAUCAUCAAUAAUUCCAAGACUGACUUUUCCUCACAGUUGCAAAGGUUGUGUGUUGGUGUCCAGCGUUUCAAAGCCCCACGGGAAUAUCGACGAGGAUUGUAUCCGACAUCUACAAGACCAUUGCUAAUUGACAUCAAGUCCUAAUUCAAAUUGGGAAAGAAAGAGUUAAUUCUGGAAAUAGGGAAAGGAGAUUCUACUCUAUAUAUCACAAUUUAAUUUUAUCUUCCAAACCAAUCUAAAUGAGUGAAAUAUGCAUUUUGAAAAAUUUUAAGAAAAUAAAUCAACCAUGUGUAUACAUGUCACUUGUGCCAAAGAUUUACGUAGAUUGGAGAUCAAAUAAAGAUUUCAAGUGAGAAGUCUCAAUACCAAAUAAAGCAAAUGGGUAUGAUUUAGUAGCAAAUCAUACGAGAAGGAAAUAGGGACAAGAGCCCUUUAGGAAUUACGGCUCAUUAUAUCGGCAAGUCUUGUACCAAUUUUGCAAAUCAUUACUGUUUAAAACGAAUUAGCAUGCAUCUUCCUAAGCAGAUGGGAUGGAAAGGACAUGGAAAGAGACUUGGCAACUCAUGUUUCAACCUCAUGAAGACAUCUCCAUCGUUAAUCUGGGAGGGGUGUUUGACCAGUGCGGUGCGUGGAGAGGAAAAAUCCGACUUGCUCAUUGACCGGGCCAAUUUCGUCUCAUCUAGACAGUGCAGAAAAACAAUCACGAAACUUGAUAAACAAGCAUUCAUUAUGUCGUCCGAUUUUCUAUGUAAGUGCCGGCUUCGCAGUGCCGUCUCCAUCAGCAAAUGAGUGUGCAGAGUUCAAGUCUUUGAGAGUCAAGAGAGAGCCCAAAAGAACCCGAGGUGAAAAGAAGAAAAUGAUGAACAAGAUCAAGAAGGAAUUUGAAGAUGGAAUGAAGCUGAUAUGGAAGAAGGUCGACCCGAAAGAUCUGAAACCUGGCGACCACAUCUACGCUUAUAGGCUAUACGGCUCCUAUAGUCACCAUGGUCAGUCUUCUUUAACCUCUCUGAUGCUCGCUGCUGAUAUCUCUUCUACUCUGUUCUUUCUCAAUCGGGUUCUUGUCUACUGCUUUAAACGGGUGAAGUUUUCUCUUCCAACUGAUAAAAAUCGAACUUCUAGCUUCGAUUCCUGUCUUUGCUG
rnacentral:lncRNA from 1 species